rnacentral:rRNA from 1 species
AUUGAACGCUGGCGGCAGGCCUAACACAUGCAAGUCGAGCGGAUGAAGGGAGCUUGCUCCUGGAUUCAGCGGCGGACGGGUGAGUAAUGCCUAGGAAUCUGCCUGGUAGUGGGGAUAACGUCCGGAAACGGGCGCUAAUACCGCAUACGUCCUGAGGGAGAAAGUGGGGGAUCUUCGGACCUCACGCUAUCAGAUGAGCCCAGGUCGGAUUAGCUAGUUGGUGGGGUAAAGGCCUACCAAGGCGACGAUCCGUAACUGGUCUGAGAGGAUGAUCAGUCACACUGGAACUGAGACACGGUCCAGACUCCUACGGGAGGCAGCAGUGGGGAAUAUUGGACAAUGGGCGAAAGCCUGAUCCAGCCAUGCCGCGUGUGUGAAGAAGGUCUUCGGAUUGUAAAGCACUUUAAGUUGGGAGGAAGGGCAGUAAGUUAAUACCUUGCUGUUUUGACGUUACUAACAGAAUAAGCACCGGCUAACUUCGUG